AUUAUAGCCUGUAGUGUAAUUAUAUUUUGUUUCUUUUUCCACGACCAUAGUCAUUUGAUGUUCAAUACUCUCCAUUCCAUAUUACUCUAGGAUGAGAUAAUUGCUUUGAAAUUAAUCUCUGCAAUCCUUUAACAUGUUUGCACAAGGUUGAUUUUUUCCCCCUUUUUUCUUUCUGUAGCUAUAUUGCUUCGAUGUUUUUUCAGUAUCUCAUCUUAAAGUUUUCUCAAAUCUGAUUAUUAAUAUAUCUCUCUCACCUCAUCUGUACAUAGCCCCUUGUUGGUAUUUCAGAUUCUUAGGCUUAAAUAAGUUCCAGUAGAGUACCUAUGUGAUCUCAUGUGCAGGCGACCCAUGGAUUGUGGAUGACAGGAUUUCCCUAGAUAAACCUCUUGAUUCUGCUAUUUUAUCGCAUCUGAAGCAGUUCUCUGAAACGAACAAGCUCAAGAAGAUGGAUUUGCAUGAAAAUACCAAAAGCCUGUUCGGAUGAAUUCAGUGCUUCGUUCUGUUCUAAAGAACGGAAUUUCACCUCAGAAGAGGAGGUUUCUUCUCUCUCAUCUUGGUCAGAUGAUCCAGAAGAAAGUCUUAGCACUACUGGCUCUACCUUUAUUACCAGAGAUGUUCUUGCAUCAGAAUCCAUGGCACAGGUUUCAUCUUAGCUACAAACAGCAACAUUGCGGCUGUUGAACAAGAGGGAAAUUUUUCUCCACUGAAUUGGUUGGUUGCUUGGAUCAGUAUGAGCUAAAAACACAGAAUUUGUGUAAGAUGUUGAGUAUAUACUCUUUUGAAAAAGCAGAGCAUAUAUCUUUUAUUCCUUCUUUAACAGAUACAUAAAAUGUUUUGUCGUAUUGUUAGUGGUAAAUAAAAUCUGAUUCCAAGCAUUGCUUUCA